rnacentral:tRNA from 1 species
UAGUUUAAAUUUAAAAAUAUUAGAUUGUAAAUCUAAAGAUACGGGUGUUCUGU